rnacentral:rRNA from 1 species
CCUACGGGUGGCUGCAGUCGAGGAUCUUCGGCAAUGGGGGCAACCCUGACCGAGCGACGCCGCGUGUGCGACGAAGGCCUUCGGGUUGUAAAGCACUGUCGGGGGGGAGGAAAGCCCGCAAGGGUGUGACCUAUCCCCGGAGGAAGCACGGGCUAAGUUCGUGCCAGCAGCCGCGGUAAGACGAACCGUGCGAACGUUGUUCGGAAUCACUGGGCUUAAAGGGCGCGUAGGCGGGCCACCAGGCCCGCGGUGAAAUCCCCCGGCUCAACCGGGGG